rnacentral:rRNA from 1 species
GAUGAACGCUGGCGGCGUGCCUAAUACAUGCAAGUCGAGCGAACAGACGAGGAGCUUGCUCCUCUGACGUUAGCGGCGGGCGGGUGAGUAACACGUGGAUAACCUACCUAUAAGACUGGGAUAACUUCGGGAAACCGGAACUAAUACCGGAUAAUAUAUUGAACCGCAUGGUUCAAUAGUGAAAGACGGUUUUGCUGUCACUUAUAGAUGGAUCCGCGCCGCAUUAGCUAGUUGGUAAGGUAACGGCUUACCAAGGCAACGAUGCGUAGCCGACCUGAGAGGAUGAUCGGCCACACUGGAACUGAGACGCGGUCCAGACUCCUACGGGAGGCAGCAGUAGGGAAUCUUCCGCAAUGGGCGAAAGCCUGACGGAACAACGCCGCGUGAGGGAUGAAGGUCUUCGGAUCGUAAAACUCUGUUAUUAGGGAAGAACAAAUGUGUAAGUAACUAUACACGUCUUGACGGUACCUAAUCAGAAAGCCACGGCUAACUACGUG